UACGUAGGGUGCGAGCGUUGCCCGGAUUUAUUGGGCGUAAAGGGCGCGUAGGCGGCCACGCACGUCCGUUGUGAAAUCGCCCGGCUCAACUGGGCGGGUCAGCGGAUACGGCGCGGCUGGAGCAAGCUAGGGGCAAUGGAAUUCCCGGUGUAGUGGUGGAAUGCGUAGAUAUCUGGAGGAACACCGGUGGCGAAGGCGGCAUCCUGGACCAACACUGACACUGAGGAGCGAAAGCCAGGGAGCAAACGGG
rnacentral:rRNA from 1 species